AUGCACGGAAAGGGGGCACCGGGGCACAGGGUGAGGGUUGGCUACCACAACCGGAAGUGCCCCGCGGCGGAGAUUAUCGUCAGGGUCGUUGUCGGCAAGGCCGUCUCCCGGAACCCCGGCCUCGGGGCCGGCAUCAUUCGCAUGGCUUUCCACGACUGCUUCGUCCAGGGCAGUGACGCGUCGGUGCUGCUGGACGCGACUCCGGCGAACCCGCGGCCGGAGAAGCUCGGCCCGCCCAACUUCCCCAGCCUGCGUGGCUUCGAGGUGAUCGACGCGGCCAAGGCGGUCCUUGAGAGGGUCUGCCCUGGAGUCGUCUCCUGCGCCGACGUCAUCGCCUUCGCCGCACGCGACUCCGCCUUCUUCCUCAGUAGCAGCAGGAUCGACUACAAGAUGCCGGCGGGGCGGUUCGACGGCCGUGUCUUCAAGGCCAAGAACAUGAACGAGGACGACCUCGUGGUGCUCUCCGGCGCGCACACCAUCGGCGUCUCACACAGCUCCUCCUUCACCGACCGCUUGCCCCCGAACCCCUCCGACAUGAACCCUGGCCUCACCAGGCUGCUGCAGAUAGGACUGGACACACCUAUCGUCGCAACAAUGGACAAGCAAAAGGGGAAGGCGAGUGGGAAGGAGAAGGAGAAAGAGAGGACGUUGGACUCCAUUAUGAAGAGAAAGUUGCCGGUCUCGGGGAUGCACAAGGGGAAUGGGAAGGGCAAUGCAGUAGCUACUACACGGCUGCCGAGGAAGCUGACAAAUGAUUCCAGCAAUGUCCCAAUCGCUGAGUUGUUGUAUAGGGUAAAAAAGAAACCUCCGCCUCGACGUCCCUCUGACCCCACCGGCACUGGCAUGCGUGCCGGAAUCACCGUUGCCUCCGGCUCCGCAAACUACUAUGAGAGGGAGGCUACAUCUUCACAGUCGCAGAAAAGGGAUGAAGAUGAGGAGGACGAUGUUGAGAAUAUCAAGUUGCCCAAGAUUGUUGAUGUGGGGGGUGACAACAAUUGCCCCAACUUCACCAACGACCCCACGGUGGUGCAGGACAUCAUCACCCCCAACCGGAUGGACAACCAGUACUACACCAACCUGCUCAAGCGCAACGUCCUCUUCACCUCUGACGUGGCGUUGCUGACGUCGGGGAAGACGGUGCUGAAGGUGAUGGAGAACGCUUUCAAACCCGGGAGCUGGGAGAAGAAGUUUGCCAAGGCGAUGGUCAAGAUGGCUGCCAUCAAGCUCAAGACCGCUGCCAACGGGGAGAUCAGGAGGAACUGCAGGGUCGUCAACAAAUAA
rnacentral:rRNA from 1 species